CGCGCGCCCCCGUCCCGCGCCCCUAUUGGCUGCGCCGCGCCAGCGGGGCGGGGCCGGCAGAGAGCCUCCCGCCGCGAUUGGCCCGGAGGGGCGGGGCCCGCGCGCCUGGCCACACCCCCGAAACCGUUGCUCAGCAGAUGGCGGCUAAAAAAAUAAAAACGAUAUAUCCUUCCGCUUGAGCUUCGAGGGAAGGAGUCCCUCGGGGCCAGCCCGCGGAGCGCCCGCAGCCGAGCCCCAAGGGAGGCACGAACGCGCUCGGGAGGGCCGGGGCGCCUCUCUAGGCCCGUGUUCCUGCCCCGGGAGCGCCGAGCCUCCAGCUAUUGGAACCGCCUUUAGAGACGGCGGAGGGAUCGAAGCGAGGCCAGAGGGCGUGAUACGGUCCCUUAUACGUGCGGCUCGCGGCGUACUCAGAUAUAGCACAGGGGGCGGUGGCACCUGUGGGGCGCCUCUGCGCAUGUGCGCGGGGCGGGAUCAGCACCUGCGGAUGCCCCACAGGCCGCCAUCUUGUCAUGCUGAGGGAAAUGGGGGCAGGCGGGCCCUGCGGGGCAAGGGACCUGGAACGUUGUGAAAUAUGACAAAAUAACAAUGUGCCCGAGGUUUCUGGGGAGGGCAGCAGGCUGUGGAGGCGUUCCAUUUGUGGUUGAUGGAGGUUGUGUAGUUGCAUCCAAAAGCAAAUGGCUUCCACCAGCUCACACCUUUAACAUGAGACCUGUGUGUUCUUACAAGUAACAAGUUUAAAGCCAUUCCCAAUGAGAACCAAGAAGGAAAACAGAGAAUAUGACAUGAUCUGGGUGGUGCUGUUCAGCAGUGACCCAAAGGACACACGUACUCCUCUACUGUAAGACUUGCCCACCAGAGCAUGUGGGAGGAAAAGACCCAAAGUGCAGAAAGUACCCAAGGCAAAGAAGCUGUUGACUCAUCCAGUUUACUGAAGUCUCAUGGUGCUCAGUUUUGGCUUUCUCCAGGGUUCCUUCCAUCACCAGAGAUGUCUGAGCUUCAAAAACCCCCGUUAGAGAAUGCUGCGGUAAUUCUGCCAUGUUGUGGUCUCAUCCAUCGUUUUCUCCAAUAAUCCAUUUCCACACUUGGGUUAAAUGUAUUUUUAAAGCCUUUCUCACCAAUUUGCUUUCACCAAUCAUUUGCUUGCCACAUUUAAACAAACACAUUCAUAUAUGAAAUCAAAAAGCUCAAAAAUUUCCUCAUGUGCCAUGAUGAGGAAAUUGCUGUCUACUCCAUGGAAAUCAGACAGUCCAAUUUCUUUUACAACUGUAGGGAAUCUCCAAUGAUUUCUAUCAAUGAGAUGAAUUUAGCAAUUGCUACAAUUUUCAGCAGAGAGAAACAAAAGAAAUAAAAGAGAAUAAUAAAAAAAUGAUAGAUCAGCAACUGUG